rnacentral:rRNA from 1 species
GAUGAACGCUAGCUACAGGCUUAACACAUGCAAGUCGAGGGGCAGCAUGAACUUAGCUUGCUAAGUUUGAUGGCGACCGGCGCACGGGUGAGUAACACGUAUCCAACCUGCCGAUGACUCGGGGAUAGCCUUUCGAAAGAAAGAUUAAUACCCGAUGGCAUAGUUCUUCCGCAUGGUAGAACUAUUAAAGAAUUUCGGUCAUCGAUGGGGAUGCGUUCCAUUAGGUUGUUGGCGGGGUAACGGCCCACCAAGCCUUCGAUGGAUAGGGGUUCUGAGAGGAAGGUCCCCCACAUUGGAACUGAGACACGGUCCAAACUCCUACGGGAGGCAGCAGUGAGGAAUAUUAGUCAAUGGACGAGAGUCUGAACCAGCCAAGUAGCGUGAAGGAUGACUGCCCUAUGGGUUGUAAACUUCUUUUAUACGGGAAUAAAGUGAGGCACGUGUGCCUUUUUGUAUGUACCGUAUGAAUAAGGAUCGGCUAACUCCGU